rnacentral:rRNA from 1 species
CCUACGGGUGGCAGCAGUGAGGAAUAUUGGUCAAUGGCCGGAAGGCUGAACCAGCCAAGCCGCGUGAAGGACGAAGGUGCCAAGCAUUGUAAACUUCUUUUGUCAAGGGACAAAAUCAGGCUCGAGAGCCUGACCGAGGGUACUUGAAGAAAAAGCAUCGGCUAACUCCGUGCCAGCAGCCGCGGUAAUACGGAGGAUGCGAGUGUUAUCGGGAUUUAGUGGGGUAAAAGGGGGUGUAGGGGUGCUGUUAAGGCAGCGGUAAAAGCCCGGGGCUCAACCACGGCGAGCCGUUGAAACUGGCUGUCUUGAGAUGUCGAGAGGUAUGCGGAAUGCGCAGUGUAGCGGUGAAAUGCUUAGAUAUUGCGCAGAACUCCGGUUGCGAAGGCAGCAUACCGGCGGCGAUCUGACGCUGAGGCACGAAAGCGUGGGUAUCGAACAGGAUUAGAUACCCCUGUAGUC